rnacentral:rRNA from 1 species
GAUCCUGGCUCAGGAUGAACGCUAGCGACAGGCUUAACACAUGCAAGUCGAGGGGCAGCAUAAAAGUAGCAAUACUUGGUGGCGACCGGCGCACGGGUGAGUAACGCGUAUGCAACCUACCUAUCAGGAGGGGAAUAACCCGGCGAAAGUCGGACUAAUACCGCAUAAAACAGGGGCACCGCAUGGUGAUAUUUGUUAAAGAAAUUCGCUGAUAGAUGGGCAUGCGUUCCAUUAGGUAGUUGGUGAGGUAACGGCUCACCAAGCCGACGAUGGAUAGGGGAACUGAGAGGUUGGUCCCCCACACUGGUACUGAGACACGGACCAGACUCCUACGGGAGGCAGCAGUGAGGAAUAUUGGUCAAUGGGCGGGAGCCUGAACCAGCCAAGUCGCGUGAAGGAAGAAGGAUCUAUGGUUCGUAAACUUCUUUGCAGGGGAAUAAAGUGCAGGACGUGUCCUGUUUUGUAUGUACCCUGAGAAUAAGGAUCGGCUAACUCCGUGCCAGCCGCCGC